UCGAUCUAUUCAUCAAACUAGCUAAUCAUGAAUUCUUGCCUCACCAUCUGCCUCUCUCUCUCCUUCUUCAUCAAAAUUUUCGGUACUGGAACUGCCCCUAAUUACAUAUACAUGAUUGCCCAAACACCUCCCUCUUCAGCCCCAACUCCACCUACCAUUCCAACCUCCACACCCUCCUCUCUUCCCUUUCCUCCACCGCCACCCACAGCACUAGGGGUGAGCAUGGUCCGGGUUGGUCCGGGCCACCCCCUAACCCUAGGACCAACCCGUACAGUGUCGGUCCUCAAUUUUUAGGACCGAGGACCGACCCUAUUGAGCCUGGGACCAAGGACCAGACCAACCCAGUGGGUUCGGUCCGAUUCCAGGGUCAACCCGGGACCGAUCGAUAAUUUUUUUCGUCUUAUUUUUUUAUACUCCCUAAAAAAACAAACUUACAAAUUCAAAUUACACUUCUAUCAAUAAUGCGACAUUGUGCAACUAAACUAUAAAUACCAAUACAUAUUUAGCAAAUUUAAGAUGACACAAUAAUAGAAAUUUUGUACCUGCUAACCGCUCAUCGAGAUAUGGGACAAGAUGGAAAGUUCUUGUAAUCAUCUAUCUUUAAUAUUCAUAACAUCAUAUGCAAAAGCGUUUUCCUGCAUUUGAUCAUGUAGAGUCCACUCAACCAAAAAAUGAGCUUCACACCACUUGACUAGCAAAUCACCGUAGCAACUGCAGUACUACUCUACUCUUCAAAAACUUCUACCAUUUGACACAAAUUAAAAAGCAAAGUGCAGCUGAAAUUCAUUAGUAAAAUACAAUUAAACCAUAAAAAGUUCAAAAUACUUAAUAUAAACCAUGAAUAUAUAACUUCACAUCUUGUUAAUUCACUUGAACUUCUAAACAUCUGAAAACAAAACAAACGACACUUAAUUAAUACUUAACAAAAGUUUUAAAUUAAAAUUACUAUUAGUACUAUUGAUAAAACAUUUCAAUAUAAUAUAAUAUAACAGACAUUUUACUUAGGUUUGAAUAUAUAAGAGAAUUAUAAAUAAUAUAAUAUAAUAUAAUAUAUAGGGUUGGUCCAGGGUUGGACCGACCCAAAACUCUUAGGACCGAGAACCAACCCGCACAGUGUUGGUCCUGGAAUUUCAAGACCAAGGACCGACCCAGUCCCCUUGGGAACCGGACCAAGACCGGCAGGGUUGGGCCGGUCCAGGGUUGGUCUAGGGUCGACCCUAGACCGCUGCUCACCCCUACACAGCACCGACAGCUUCGCGUACGCUACUGCUGGCCAAAACCCUCCCGAUCGGGCCUACGGGCUCUUCCUUUGCCGUGGCGACCUUGACAUCGCCACUUGCAGCAUCUGCCUGGCCACUGGAAAGCAAGAGAUCCUCCAAAGAUGCCCCAACCGGCGGGUCUCUGUUAUCUGGUACAACGAGUGCAUGUUGCGGUACUCGAACCAGUCCAUCUUCUCAGACAUGGAGCAAUCGCCAUCUCCUCUUUUGUACGACGAGAACGUCAUGGACCCAAUCCGGUUCAUGCAGGUCCUAUUAGAAACCCUCAACAAUGUCGCGGUGAGGGCUUCAGCUGGUGGGUCAGGGAAGAAGGUCGCGGUGGCGGAGGCAAACAUCACGAGCAUGCAGAAGCUGUACGCACUUGCAUAGUGCACGCUGGACUUGACGGCAUCAGACUGUGGCACAUGCCUCCAGUUCAGUAUCGCUAAUCUACCUCAGGGGAAGCAAGGGGUAGCUUGCUCACUCCGAGCUGCAAUGUGAGGUACCAGCUCUAUGCCUUUUAUGACACCUCAGCUCUGCCGGCACCAGCACCAACAACAGCACCUCCACGUCCCGCUCCGUCGACUGGACCUAAAGGUAAAUGUGCGUUUGUAUUGCUUAUCUUCGUCUGUCCUAACUCUUUUCGCUUUAAUUGGAAUCAAGAUCUCGAUUUAGCGCGUAUCCACCAUGAGUAAUUAUAGAAUUUUUCCUAAAAUAAAAAGACGUGAUCGGUUGACUAAAGAUAUGAGGUGAUAUUGGAGGAUCAUAAAAACAAUUCCUCGUCAUAGUGCGCUUGUUGGUCCUGGGCUUUAGUUUAAGCGGGGACCCCGGUGUUUAUGCUGCAACAUUUCGUUAAGAAAACUGUGGCUGGGCUGGACAAAUAUUAUAAGUAUUUUUGACAAAAAAAAAAGGUUAUACUGAUAUUAUAAGUUCUUGAAAUUAAUGCUUCUUUCAAUUCUUUAAUGCUACAGAGUCAAGAUGAAAUACAUAUUAGGUAACAACUUUUUCUAAGGUGGAUAGCUCACUUAUAUGACUAUUGGUAAAGGUUGCUUUUAAUCAAUCAAUGGUUAAUCCCCCAAUAAACAAUCAAUGUGCUCACAUAGGUAUUAGGGAAAAAAUUUGCAUUUUUUCUAUGAAGGACAGAUUAUGAUUACAACUUAGGGUCCGUUUGUUUGAAGAAAAAUCAUUUUCGGGAGAUUGUUUUUCAACUUUUAAGUGUUUGGAUAAUGAAAACCUAGUCAAUCUAUGAUGAGCAUUUUCCAUGGACUGAAAACAAGAAAUUAGAUUGGGGUAAACGAUUUCACCUUCUGACAAGAAGGUAAACAUUUUUCUUGAUUUAUUGUUGCUGGUCAAAGUGAGAAGUAUAGGUCUCUAUAUGUCUAUUUCUUAUCUCUCAUCAUUUUUGCUAGUUCUUUUUCAAUAAGUCUCAUUUGUUUUGGUCAUUAAUUCUCAUAUUCUAUUACAUUCUCAAACAAACAUGAUCAUACAUAAUGUUUUACACAUAUGAUUCCAUAAUUCUUUCCUAAUAUCUUUUUAAUUUUUUAUGGAUUAAAAAAUAGAUAAAGACAUGUUGAUUCUAAUUUUUUAGUCGUUACAUGCCAUUUUUAACAAUACAAGCUGCCUUUAAUGGAUUUAUGAAGAUGAUAUAUCUGAAAUUCUCCUUAGGACGGAAAAUCCAUGUAAAUUUCCUCCUCUUAAUCAUUAUGGAAAAAGGCAUUGAGGACAUCUAGCGUGGGGACCAAUGACAGUAAAGCAACGAUGGAGAGAAAAGAAUGAAUAAUGACUUCCCUAGUUACUGAGGAAAAUUUUUCCUGAUAAUUCAAAACCUUUCCGCUUUGCGAAACCCUUGACAGUUAAUCAAGCUUUGUAAUGCUCAAUAGAACAAUAUGUCUUAUAUUUAAUCUUAUAGACCCAUUAUCACCUUGUUGAUUUGAUACUAGAGGACAGUUCGAGAAAUAAAAUAUUAAGAUGCAUCCACAUUGCAUUGCUAUGUGUUCAAGAGAACGUAUCGAGACAACCAUCCAUAUCAUGGGUGGUUUUAGUGUUGGUAAGCCAAAUGACGACCCUUCCAACACUGACAUAGAUUGUAUAUUUGACUUACACUGGUGGUAGAGAAGUGUCAACUACAUCUAUUAAUGGCUCAGCAGCGACAUCAAUAAAUGAAGCUUCGAUGAUGAAUCCACACCCUAGAUGAUAAAAUCACCAAAGGAUCAACGUUGAAUUUGGAAGACAAUGUGAGAUGUUGUUAAGAUAAAUUCAUGCUUUUGAAAAGUCUAAAUUCUAGGUAAGUUCAUUGGAAGUCUAACCGGAGAGUAUGUGGUGACAAGGUAGAAAAUAGAAUGGAAAUUCUAUUAUUGUUAGCAAUUAUAAUCUCUAGAAGAAGUGGUGGGCUGCUUGCACAAUGGAUAAUGGGUUUACUCUAACGUCUUCGAGGCCAAUUCACUAAUAGUAUAUGCAAGUUCAUCUAGAUUGGAGAAAACAGGAGAACGACAUCCUGAAAUUAGAGUGCACAGCCAAAGUUUAGUGGAAUUUGGAUUAUUAUAUUAGAACUUUUAUUAACACACAGAUUUUGGUAACUCAUUUAAUCAUUCCGUAAUUACAUAGAAAAUUACAGAUUAAUUUUUAACCCCUAGUAAAAUAAUUUUCAUUAAAUGGUACCACAUAUAGACAUUAGGUGGGCAUUUGCAUUACUAGUAUUAAAAUAAAUAUAUAUAUUAUUAUCAUUAUUAUUUUAUCUUAUUUUUAAAAUUAUUUUUUUUUAGAAAAAAAUGGUAGAAGCGAGACCGAGCCAGAGGCAGGCCGGCCCGGCCCUCUCUCUCUUCUCCUCUUCUCCUUCUCUCCUGGUUUUGGAGGAUGGCUAAACGACAAUAGAAGGGGACAGAGAGGACAGCAAGAGGCAGAGACAAAAAGGACAAGGGGGCUUGCCGAGAAAAGAGGAAGGAAUCAAGAGAGUGGGGGAGCGGAGAUUGAAGGAGGCCAUUGCUCGCCUGGAGAAGGAAGCAGGGAAGAAAACAAGAAAGAAAGAGAGCAUCAUUGGGAGCUGAAGGGGGCGAGGUUGAAUUGAGAGCGAGAGAGAGAGCCUCGGCCAACACCUCGGCCACACACGUGCUCCGUCCGACGACCUCUCCCGAUAAAUGUCCUCAAGCCCAAACCAGUAGGCCUUUGUUUUUUUUUUUUUUGGUAAAGACCAGUAGGCCUUUGUUCUUUCCCUCUAUUUGCUACUUUCAUGGGUACGCCGCGCCAGUGGUCGUGGCCGUUCGUGUUAAGAAUCAUAUCAAAGCAAAGUCUGCACAAGCACACUCUAUUGCUGUUUCAACAAAGAAAAGAGAUGAAGAUGCUGCUGCUGUAACAAAGACCAGAAGAAGUGAAGUGGGUGAAUCAUCGGCUAUGUCAGCUACGCGUAUGCAUGGUGUUGCUGAUUCGACUAGGAAGGAAAGAGAUGAAGUCGGUGGUGAAACUUCUAGCUCCACAUGUCCAACUAUGAGUGGAGCUCUCCUGUUACAGAACCGAUAUUCUGUUUUGUGCGUUUAACAGAUUGAGCAACAGAUUAACAACUAUGAUUCUUUUUACUUUCUUUUUCUGUUUUUCUGUUAGUUUGUUUUUUCUCCGUUAGAUGAACUGUAAAACUAUCUUUGGUUGUUCUUGAGAUCAGAUCAUGUAAUAUAAAUAGAGAACAAAGCAAGCGAGAUAGCAAGCUCUCAGAUGAAUGUUUUCCUUUAAUACAUAGAAGAAAGUCCAAAACUCUUUGUCUAUUAUCAUCAUUCUUCCUCUCAUUCUAUUCAUAAAUCUUCACAGUUCGCUCACGUGAGCUCCAGCCCCUGUAGGUCUUUAGCUAGGUCACUGCGUGUUACUCAUCAUUUGCUAAGGAUUUGUAGCCCGAGUUCCAGUCACGGUUGAGCUGGAAACCAAUUGUUCAAUGGCGCACACAAACCGCUUCAAGAAAUGCUUCGUCGAGAUCAAGUUUCGCUUUUACCCUUUUUGGCCAAAACCCAGCGUCCUUGUGUUGAUCCCCUGUUGAGGUGUCGUUUUUGUGAUUAGCAUUCCUGGGCGUUGGUUGUUCGAUCGUUUCACUGCCCCCACCACUGUCAUCGCUUAUGUGGUUCUGCGUUUCGUGCUUUGUGGCCGACAAUGGCUGUCCGAUGACAAGAGGAAAUCCGCGGAGAGGUCAGCCGGCGAGUGGUGGUUGUCGAAGUGGACAACCGAUGAAGGUGUAGCUCGUUGAAGAAGACCACCUAAGGAAGAAGACGUUCGGGGAAGAAGGCUUCAGGAAGGCAACAUGCAAAAGGGGAAGGGGCGAAAGUGAUUAGUUGAUUCAGCAGGUCUAGGCUCGUCUCUUCCUAAGGAUUUGGGUUUGGCCUGUUGUAUGGGUUUUGGGCAGGGCUCUUUUCUUUUGUUUUACCCUUUCUUUUUCAUGGGGUUGAGGGAUUGGGCCCGAUCGGUCGUGAUCCGGGUCGGAUGUCCGUUUUAUGCUAUAUUAUUUUAAUAUUAAUUUUUUUUAAUUAAUUAAUUAAUUUAAAAUUUUAAAAAAUUAAUAGAAAUAUUAAAAAUCAGAAAAAAUUUAUAAAUUUAGAAAAUACAGAAAAAUAAAAAAUAAAAAUUCAGAAAACCAUUAAAAUUCUGGAAAAUUCAAAAGUUCGUUAAAAAAAUUUAGAAAAUUCCAGAAAAAGAUAAAAAUUCCAAAAAAUUAGAACCCCUCCAGAAUGCUUGAAGAUAGUCCUUUAGGAUAGCCUUUUCUUAAAGUUAUGGGAAAAUCAUUAAUUUAGGAAAUUGCGCUAAAAAAUUGAACAAGCUCUUAUGGCCUUACCAUAGAGUUCGAAUUGUCCAUAAAGAAGAAUGCUCUUAAUUGCACACUUUAUAUAUGAUGAUUAUGGCUUCUCUUUUGCCUAGUUAGGAUUGAAAUUUAUUUAUUUCUUAGCAUUAAAUGCUUGCUUUCCCUUGUAAUUUAUUUAAUGCUUUAUUUAGUUGCUAAUUACUAUUUUAAUAAUUCCGCACUUGCAUAAUCAUCUCAUAUGUUAGUAAAUAGAUAUAAAAUCAUCCAGACCGUCUGACUAAAAUCUUCUUAAAAUAAACAAGAUUAAAUACAAAAAGGGCACUAAUUAAUUAUUAGUGUAAUUAAGUCUCUGAGCCUAAAUUCUCUACUUACAUAGAAAGUAAAAUAUACUUCCAUACUUCACUUAGUUUUCAGCUAAUCCCAAUAGGUUAAUGGCAACUCCUUAUGUAGAAUUCGUAUAGGAUUAAUUGAAUGAAAAUCAAAUGUCCAAUGUAAUGCAAGAUAUGGGUUUGUGAUCGACAAUUCUUUUAUGGUGUUAGCAAAUGAUGGUCCAUUCGAGAUUGUCAUUUGAAUGAAUCAUUCGACUCAUCUCAUAAGCAAGUACCUCUAAACCUAUUUUCUUCCCUAUUGAGUGGUAGGUCACAACAACUCUCUAUGAACCUAUAACUAGAAUUCAAUCAUUAUCCACAAGGUUUCUAACUUUUGACAUACGAUAUAAAGUUUCAAUAUAUCUUAAAAACUAAGAUUUUCACAUUAGUAACUUUCUCCAAAUAAAGCUUUCUAAGCUAGCUUAUUAGCCAUGUAUGGGAAAAUGUCGGAAAAAAUUAUACCAUAAGUGUCAUAACUUCCAUACGGUGUUUAUUCAAGUAGUACAACUUCUUCUUCUUUUUUUGAUAAUUUGAGUGUCAUAAUUUUUUUGACUAUUUAAAUGUCAUUUAACUUUUCAAUCGAUCAUUUGAGUGAUAUAACUUUUUGAUAACUUUCAUCAAUUGAAAGUUAUAACACAUAUAUAAGUGUUUUUUCUCUAAAAUUAUGAUACUCAAAUGAUCGAAGAAAAAGUUAUGACACUUAAAUGAUUAUUGCACAAAAAAUUUGACAUUUGUACAAUACUUAUCCUGAAAACAUUGGAAAUACAACGUAUAUAGCUUUGGCAUAACCCUACACUUUUAUCAUAAACUUAUUGUACUUUUGUCAAUUUAAUCUUAAAUCUUUCAAUUUUACCAAUUCAGUUCUGAACUUUUUAAUUUUGUCAAUUUAGUCCAUCUGGACACUUCCGGCCGAAAAUUGCUAACAUAGAUAGCCAGCACUGACAUGACACUUUUCUAAUAAUAUUUUAAUGUUAUUUUGAUUUUUUUUUUUACUUUUCUUUGCUUUUUUUUUAUUGCUUUUUUUGAUGAGGGUCGGCAAGGGCUCACGAACCUUCACCGCAACCCUCACCAAUUUUGGGUGAGGGCUCGCGAGUCCUCACUUUAGUCAGCAAGGGCGUCGCAGCCUUCAGCCAAAGUUAGUGAGGGGCAUGACACUCUCACCCAAGGGCGGCGAGGGUCAACCAGCCCUCACUUGUAGGUGGCAAAGGUCGUCAGCCUUUGCUGUAUUCCAUCCUCACAAUCCAUCUUAUUCUUCUGUCCACUUAUGAAUUUGAAUGGCCUAACACACUGAAAUUUGUGUCGCUUUAACUGUAUUUGACUUUAAGGAAAAUCUCCCACCGGUUUCUCUUGACUUGUCAUAAAUCUCUUUCGACCUUCCUGUAUAAAGAAAAAAGUAUAUUAUAGUUUUUCAUUAUUUAAAAUAUCAAUUUUUAUAUGGUUUAAAACGUUUAGAUAUGUCAUAUGGAAUAAAAUGUCAAAAUUUUAAACGUUCAAACCUUGAUCCUCGAAUUUCAAUUUGCAAUGGUGCGCCUUGUACUAACUUAUCAAAAACAAGAAAGAAAAUAGAAUUUGAAUGGCCUAACACACUGAAAUUCGUGUUGCUUUAACUGUAUUUGACUUUAGGGAAAAUCUCCCACCGGUUUCUCUUGACUUGUCAUAAAUCUCUUUUGACCUUCCUAUAUAAGGAAAAAAGUAUAUUAUAGUUUUUCAUUAUUUAAGAUAUCAAUUUCUAUAUGGUUUAAAACAUUUAGAUAUGUCAUAUGGAAUAAAAUGUCAAAAUUUUAAACGUUCAAACCUUGAUCCUCGAAUUUCAAUUUGCAAUGGUGCGCCUUGUAUUAACUUAUCAAAAACAAGAAAGAAAAUAGAUAAUUCACCCCUAAUCUUUCAGUUGUGCUAUUGAACCUAAUCUCAGUUGCAGUUUCAGUAUAACAAGUAUAUGAUGAUAAAAUUGCUCAAAUUUUGCUUUGGUAAACCCAAUCUAAUAAUCUAUACUAUGUAUCAUCCAUCACAUGUUGUUGUGUAGACUACGUGUGACAUGAGAAUUUAUUGUGUAGGCUUAGUCUAAUUUAUUUGGUUAAUCACAGAUUAAGAAAAAGUGAAACGAACGAACCUCACAUAAAAAAAUACAAAUUUUUACCACAUUUAGAAUGAGUCGAUAUAUUCUGAUACUUCUCUACAGUAUUAAUAAAAUAAAAUUUUGUUAUAUGAUGAUGUCCAAAUAAUUAGCUUAAUACCAUGAAUCCACUUAAACAGGACCUUGCUUGCAUAAAAGCCAAUAAAGGAUGAUAGUCUAAUCCCAUAUUUAGAUUGCAUUUUUUAUUGGUCAUGCUGCAAUUAUUCUUCAGACAUGACGGUCCACAUUUAUUUUAAUCCAUGCAUUUAGAUUCCCCGAAUAGUUCUCACCACAAAAAUAUCUUGGAAAGAGACCACAUGCUCUUCUUCCUACUAUUCUGUGUCCGUGCUGCAAGCUCGAUCUAUUCAUCAAGCCAGCCAAUCAUGAAUUCUUCCUCACCAUCUGCCUCUCUCUCUCCUUCUUCAUCAAAAUUUCGGUACUGAAGCUGCCCCUAAUUACAUAUAUCAUGAUUGCCCAAACACCUCCCUCUUCAACCCCAACUCCACCUACCGAUCCAACCUCCACACACUCCUCUCUUCCCUUUCCUCCGCUGCCACCCACAGCAUCGACGGCUUCGCGAACGCUACUGCUGGCCAAAACCCU
rnacentral:lncRNA from 1 species